CAGAUUUUUUAUUGAAAACGAUACUUCGUGUUUACGAAGAACAUUGUAAAACAAUGCUCUGUUUGUUCGAUUGAGCAUAAUUAACUUUGGUUAUAAAGUUGAAAUGUUUUAUCGAUAACCAUUAUGAAUUAUAGCAGUACAUAUAAAAACUUCUUCGAUAAUCUUUUGAAGAAUUUUAUAAUGAUUUUACAAUAAUUUUCGUUAAUACGUUCUUAAAUCGGUGAAUCUAUUAUAUAUCAAACUUUUCCGUUAAGAUAUCCUAAUAUUAUAUAAUUUUUCCAUUAGAGAUAUUUAUAAUUUUUUCAAUCAUCCGAAGAAACUGAUAUUUUCUUUUCUAAUUCUCUUUAAUUUUUUCGAAAACUUUUACGAAGAAACGUAGUCUUAUACGAAAAAAAAGUUAGGUUAGAUCAGCUUAAAUUUUACAUAAUUAAUUUUAAUUAUACAAAUUUAAUGAUUUUUAUUUUUAUAUAAGUUGUAGAAAUGAUUUUCCUUUUGAUUCUAUCACAUAUUUUAAAAACAUUCGUACGAUAUAAAGAUAGAUUAAUUACAGGUUCGAAGCCAAAUUGCAUAACGGAAAGAACGAAAGCAGAAGAGAGACGAGAGAUGAAGAAACAAAAACAGAGGUUGCAAUUUUCAUCGCCAACGUGAUCGUGACGCGGUUCAAGUUCACGGGUAAAUUCGGUUAUUCCCGAGCCAGUUACAAACGAAACGUGUUUUCGAUGCAUCGCGAAUCAUCGUGCAUCGUGACGUAGCUAACCUCCAAAUAUCUCGAAUCUGCUUUAAGAAUAACCAUUUCCAUUCUGCUCGCGCUAUUCUCCUUUCGACCUCGGAUCGAAUCGACGUGAAAUUCGAUUCUACCAUCGAUCACUAACUUUUCUCGUUUCAUUCCUUCCUGAUUCUUUAUAGACUUCCGAUCAUCUCGAUCCUUCCUUCUUUCCUUCUUAUUCUUCUCUCUCUCUCUCUCUCUCUCUCUCUCUCUCUCUCUCUCUCUCUCUCUCUCUCUCUCUCUCUCUCUCUCUCUCUCUCUCUCUCUCUCGUUUUUUCCUCGAUAUCUGUCUGUCCUCGACCGUGUAGGAAUGCACACUAGCGAUUCGCUUCGACUAAAAUAGUGCGUGAUGGCAUUCGUUUAAAGAAGUUUCGAGAAAUAUUUAUGGAAAAAUCGAAAUUCCUGUAAACAAAAAGAUAAUGAAAUAAAACAUUAAGUUCGGAGAUGUGAAUAUUAAAAGAAAAUUGGAAAGAAAAAUGUCAGUGAACUGAUCUAACUUUGUUAUCCAUUUCUAACCUCUUUCUAUACUGAUAUAACGAUACAGUUUAUAAUGCAUAUAGUCUAUAGUGCAUAUUUCUGCUAUGUUUCAUUAGCAUUCGACUUUCGAUCCUAUUUUUCUUUCGAUUGCUGUCCUUUUUUGACGAAAAAUAUACUUUGUGCCAUGUAAAAACAUAAUAUAUCUAUGUUACAUAAUUGUAAAUAAUUUUCAAUCUUAUUGAAAAUUAAUAUUGCUAUCAAUAUUUAUUGUAAUUAUCAAAUAUUAUAUAAUUAUCAAAUAUUGUAA